CGUAAUCUUUCAUGGUAGCCUAUGGUACUGUGCUAAUACUGUUUUUCCUGUCCCCAGUUUGAUUUUGAAGUGCAAUAAGAUAACACACGAUUGCUCCAGCGUUCUGAAGAUAGCAUGGCCAUCGUUCCAAGCGAUGGCAUGUGGGGAAAUUAUGCAGGUGCCACAGACGAGACUUCUGUUUUGGAUGUGGAGACUUCAGAUCCAUCAUCAGCUGCUUUGCCAAAGAGCUCCAUGAUGCAUACACGGAACUGAAAGUUCCAAGCGAUGGCAUGUGUUGGGGAAUUUAUGCAGGUGCCACAGACGAGACUUCUGUUUUGGAUGUGGAGACUUCAGAUCCAUCAUCACCCGCCUUGCCAAAGAGCUGCAUGAUGCAUGAACGGAACUGAAAGGUUGAACCAUAUCAGUUUCGGACAGAGAACAACCAAACGUACAGCGCGGAUGGCGAGCCAGACAGCAAUGUAGCAGAGGAUGAUGAUACCCAGGGGAAGGAAGCAGCAGGUGACCAUCAGGACAACCAUAGCAAAAGGACACGACUGCCAAGAGACGACGGCUCCACACCAUCCUGAAGAUGGAAUCCUGGCCAUCAUUGAUAACAGUCUGUACAUUUUACCAUUAUUGAAUUUAUGAUUGACUAACUAUGAAAGAAACUUUGGAAUGUGCAGUAUUAUUGUUGGAGUGUUGUGUGGUUAUGUGCUUAGUAUAACAAGUUUAAGACUAACAAUCUCCAAGAUCUUUAGCUACUCAAAUGCUGUGCUGUAUGUCUUGUUUUGUUAGGAGUUAAAACUUGUUCUAUGUAAAGGGUGUUAGACAUACUUUAUUGUGUAUGAAAAUGAAUGGGUGUCUGGGUGUCUGACUGUCAUAAUUAAUUUAGCAUAAAAAAAAUAAUGUAAAAAGUAUCAAAAAAUGUGUAAUAUAGUCGCUGACAUUAUUAUCAAAGGAAAUAUUACAUUUCUAUGCAUGUGUCUAUGAAUCAGGCUUUUCCCCCCCAUGUUGAUGUAAACAGAUGUUGAUGGUUCAUCCAUUGAUGAACAUCAACGGAUGUUGAUGAGGGUUUCCAAAUGAACUCCCAACUCGCCCUCUCAUCCGACCUUUCUGCGGGAGUAUGUCUGGAAUUCCGCUAGUUCUGAACUAUUCAUGAUUGGCAAAAGUUCACUACUAGCAGAACUCGGAUUUGCACCCGGCUCUCAGCUAUUUAGACUGCCCUCCAAGGGGCACCGGACACCUGGUAUGUUCUGACACUGAAAAAUAAACAUUAAAUUGAUGCAUUCAAAAGACUCCAUGCAUAAGGAAUUCAGACCAUGCCAUUUGUGUGAAGACAACAAGGACAGCUUUUGUAUGUGAUCAGUACCUUGUUUUCUUCUCACAGUUUUAUGGUUUUAAUCCCUUAGAGUUUAACUAACGAAUCCAGUUAUGAUGAAGAUACUGUUAUAAGAUACUAAAUAUUUAUUUUAUUCAUGCAGUUGUUUUAGGUACUGGAAAAUAAUUGCACUUCAGAAAUAUGCUGCACUGGAUUGGCAAUGCCAGUAACCUUGUCGAGCUACUUGUUGGUAAUGUCAAACCUUCUAUCAUUUUGUACAUUUUGAGAGCAUGCAGUGUUAUUAGAUUGCACCGCCGAAACUAGGCUACAAGUGUCUACAAAUGAUUUAAGUAACCACAAACAAUGUUACUGUUGUGUUUACAGUGGGAUAGGAUCAUCCUUGAUCAAUUUAUAUGCCAUGGUAAUCUCUGUUGAAUUAUUUUAAUUCAUAAAAUGGCUGCAACUUUAUCCCUAAAGCCAAAUCUUUACCUAUUCUUAAAGUGACUAAAGUUUAUUUAGUAGUAUUUAGUAUUAUAUUCUGGCAAAUACUUGCCAUGCUUAUGCUUAUUAAAUAUAACCUUACUAUUGUGGAUAUUAAUUAUUGUACAUUGGACAGUUAUGUGUUUGUCUCUCAUUAGCUAUUAAUUAAUUAUUGUACAUUGGACAUUGGACAGUUAUGUGUAUGUCUCGUUAGCUAUUAAUUGUAAGGGCAGCUAUUUGAAGAAUUCUUUUUUACUACUAUUGUAUUCUUUUUUUUUACUAUUGUCAGUUUUGAGUUACAGUUUAAGGGUCUGCCAGUACAUGGUUUUAGAAUGGUGAUUCAACUUGUGGCAUAAACCUAAAACAGGUUUACAAACACAUCAUUGCCACCACAGAAGUUCAGUUGGCGCUGUUGUCAGAGAGUGGAUAUUUAUUUUCAUCAAAGAAUUUCCUUUGAAGAAUGUACCCUGUUUAUAUGUUCCCCGUUGCUGUUCCAUGUUAUAGUGUUGUUAUGAGUACAUUAUAUUGAUGUAAAAUGAUUGAUGUAAAAUUCAAGGGUUAUUCAAAUCUGUUUUGAAAACUGCUACCCGAUAUUACUUUGCAAAAAUAAAGGCUCAUGUUUUCA